CGGGACACGUGGUAUCCUGUCUGAAUAUGGGGGGACCAUCCUCCAAGGCUAAAUACUCCUGACUGACCGAUAGUGAACCAGUACCGUGAGGGAAAGGCGAAAAGAACCCCGGCGAGGGGAGUGAAAAAGAACCUGAAACCGUGUACGUACAAGCAGUGGGAGCACGCUUAGGCGUGUGACUGCGUACCUUUUGUAUAAUGGGUCAGCGACUUAUAUUCUGUAGCAAGGUUAACCGAAUAGGGGAGCCGAAGGGAAACCGAGUCUUAACUGGGCGUUAAGUUGCAGGGUAUAGACCCGAAACCCGGUGAUCUAGCCAUGGGCAGGUUGAAGGUUGGGUAACACUAACUGGAGGACCGAACCGACUAAUGUUGAAAAAUUAGCGGAUGACUUGUGGCUGGGGGUGAAAGGCCAAUCAAACCGGGAGAUAGCUGGUUCUCCCCGAAAGCUAUUUAGGUAGCGCCUCGUGAAUUCAUCUCCGGGGGUAGAGCACUGUUUCGGCAAGGGGGUCAUCCCGACUUACCAACCCGAUGCAAACUGCGAAUACCGGAGAAU
rnacentral:rRNA from 1 species